UAACACGGGGGGAGCAAGCGUUGUCCGGAAUUACCAGGCGUAAAGGGCAAGUAGGCGGAAUUGUAAGUCAGAUGUUAAAGGCACCGGCUCAACCGGUGUACGGCAUUUGAUACUGUGAUUCUAGAGUAAGGUGGGGGAAGAUGGAAUUCCUGGUGUAGCGGUGGAAUGCGCAGAUAUCAGGAAGAACACCAGAGGCGAAGGCGAUCUUCUAUACCAUUACUGACGCUAAAUUGCGAAGGUGUGGGUAUCAAACAGGAUUAGAUACCCUGGUAGUCCACACAGUAAACGAUAUACACUAGGUGUUGGGGGAGAUGAUCUUUCAGUGCCGUAGCUAACGCGUUAAGUGUAUCGCCUGGGGAGUACGAUCGCAAGGUUA
rnacentral:rRNA from 1 species